rnacentral:rRNA from 1 species
GACGAACGCUGGCGGCGUGCUUAACACAUGCAAGUCGAACAGAAAGGCCCUGCUUUUGUGGGGUUCUCGUUUGGCGAACGGGUGAGUAACACGUGAGUAACCUGCCCUUGACUUUGGGAUAACUUCAGGUAACUUGGGCUAAUACCGGAUAGGCUCUCCUGCUGCACUGUGGGUGUUGUAAAGUUUCGUCUGUUGGGGAUUGACUCGCGGCUUAUCAGCUUGUUGGUGGGGUAGUGGCUUACCAAGGCUUUGACGGGUAGCCGGCCUGAGAGGGUGACCGGCCACAUUGGGACUGAGAUACGGCCCAGACUCCUACGGGAGGCAGCAGUGGGGAAUAUUGCACAAUGGGCGGAAGCCUGAUGCAGCAACGCCGCGUGCGGGAUGACGGCCUUCGGGUUGUAACCCGCUUUCGCCUGUGACGAAGCGUGAGUGACGGUAAUGGGUAAAGAAGCACCGGCUAACUACGUG